rnacentral:lncRNA from 1 species
CCGUGACGUCAUCAACGUUUUUCGUGGUUUUCUACGGUUUAAAAUGGAAUUUAGAAUUAAAUUAUAAGAAAUGACUGUAAUAUUUUUUUCUGUCUAUUCGAAAUAACAUAAAAAAUGUGGUGCACACUGUUUAAUAACCCGCCACGCGCGUUUAUCAGUGUGCACCAAAUUUUUUAUGUUCUUUCUUCAUAGACAGAAAAAAUAU